rnacentral:rRNA from 1 species
UACGUAGGGGGCAAGCGUUGUCCGGAUUUAUUGGGCGUAAAGAGCGUGUAGGCGGCCUUACAGGUCAGCUGUGAAACUCGAGGCUCAACCUCGAGAGGUCGGUUGAAACCGUAAGGCUAGAGCCGGAAGAGGAGAGUGGAAUCCCGGUGUAGCGGUGGAAAUGCGCAGAUAUCGGGAAGAACACCCGUGGCGAAGGCGGCGUCUCUGGGACCGGUGAAC